CUGCUGCCUUCCGUAGGAGUCUGGUCCGUGUCUCAGUACCAGUGUGGGGGACCUUCCUCUCAGAACCCCUACGCAUCGUCGCCUCGGUGGGCCGUUACCCCCGCCGACUAGCUAAUGCGACGCAUGGCCAUCCUAUGCCGGAGUCGCCUCCUUUGACCCCAAGAAGAUGUCUCCUAAAGGUGUUAUGCGGUAUUAGACGGAAUUUCUUCCGCUUAUCCCCCUGCAUAGGCAGGUUCCAUACGUGUUACUCACCCGUGCGCCGG
rnacentral:rRNA from 1 species